AUGUUGACUAAUGAAAAUAAUUGGACUCUUCCUGAGCCAGUUCCUGAAGUAAUUCCUGAACCAAUUGAGCCAACUCCUGAGCAUAUUCCUAAACCCACUCCGAAGAAGAGAGGUGUUUUAUUUCUCAGUCCUGAAGAUAUGCAAGAGGCAAAGAAAUCAAUGAAAGAAAAAGGUAUUAAAGCUGAAGAUGUUAAGAAUAUACCUCCUAUUGAAGAAAUACAUGGUCUGAAUAUACCGCCUGAAGAACCACAUUGUCUUGAUAACCCGACACAGGUAGUAAAGGUAAAUUCUCUCUAUAGAUACGAUAAAGUUGAAAUACCCUCUACUAAAUUUCAU
rnacentral:rRNA from 1 species